UCCCCGUUAACCGGGGCAGUCCCCCUAGAGUUCCCGGCAUGAUCCGCUGGCAACUAGGGGCGAGGGUUGCGCUCGUUGCGGGACUUAACCCAACAUCUCAUGACACGAGCUGACGACGGCCAUGCAGCACCUGUGUGGCGUCCAGCCGAACUGAAGGAGGCCAUCUCUGGCCCCCGCGACGCCCAUGUCAAGGGCUGGUAAGGUUCUGCGCGUUGCUUCGAAUUAAACCACAUGCUCCACCGCUUGUGCGGGUCCCCGUCAAUUCCUUUGAGUUUUAGCCUUGCGGCCGUACUCCCCAGGCGGGGCACUUAAUGCGUUAGCGUCGGCACGGGAGGAGUCGACACCUCCCACACCUAGUGCCCAUCGUUUACGGCGUGGACUAC
rnacentral:misc_RNA from 1 species